rnacentral:tRNA from 1 species
GCCAGUGUGGGGUAGUGGUUUGAGCGUCGGACUAGGACUCUGGAGAUCGGGGUUCAAUUCCCUGUUACCU